UCAGGCCUAACACAUGCAAGUCGAGGGGUAGAACAUUUCGGUGUUUGAGACCGGCGCACGGGUGCGUAACGCGUAUGCAACCUACCUUUUACAGGGGAAUAGCCCAGAGAAAUUUGGAUUAAUGCCCCAUGGUAUAUUUAGAUGGCAUCAUCUGAUUAUUAAAGUUCCAACGGUAAAAGAUGGGCAUGCGUCCUAUUAGCUAGAUGGUAAGGUAACGGCUUACCAUGGCAACGAUAGGUAGGGGUCCUGAGAGGGAGAUCCCCCACACUGGUACUGAGACACGGACCAGACUCCUACGGGAGGCAGCAGUGAGGAAUAUUGGACAAUGGGCGCAAGCCUGAUCAAGCCAUGCCGCGUGCAGGAAGAAGCAUCUAUGGAUGUAAAGGGCUUUUGUACGGGAAGAAACACUCCUACGUGUAGGAGC
rnacentral:rRNA from 1 species